rnacentral:rRNA from 1 species
UACAGAGGGUGCGAGCGUUAAUCGGAAUUACUGGGCGUAGAGCGUGCGUAGACGGUUAUGUAAGUCGGAUGUGAAAGCCCCGGGCUUAACCUGGGAAUGGCAUUCGAGACUGCAUAGCUAGGAUGCGGAAGAGGGAAGUGGAAUUUCCGGUGUAGCGGUGAAAUGCGUAGAUAUCGGGAGGAACACCAGUGGCGAAGGCGACUCUUUGGCCUGUAACUGACGCUGAGGCGCGAAAGCGUGGGGAGCAAACAGG